AAAUCGUACCCCAAACCGACACAGGUGGUCAGGUAGAGAAUACCAAGGCGCUUGAGAGAACUCGGGUGAAGGAACUAGGCAAAAUGGUGCCGUAACUUCGGGAGAAGGCACGCUGAUAUGUAGGUGAAGCCCCUGCGGGUGGAGCUGAAAUCAGUCGAAGAUACCAGCUGGCUGCAACUGUUUAUUAAAAACACAGCACUGUGCAAACACGAAAGUGGACGUAUACGGUGUGACGCCUGCCCGGUGCCGGAAGGUUAAUUGAUGGGGUUAGCGGCAACGCGAAGCUCUUGAUCGAAGCCCCGGUAAACGGCGGCCGUAACUAUAACGGUCCUAAGGUAGCGAAAUUCCUUGUCGGGUAAGUUCCGACCUGCACGAAUGGCGUAAUGAUGGCCAGGCUGUCUCCACCCGAGACUCAGUGAAAUUGAACUCGCUGUGAAGAUGCAGUGUACCCGCGGCAAGACGGAAAGACCCCGUGAACCUUUACUAUAGCUUGACACUGAACACUGGUCCUUGAUGUGUAGGAUAGGUGGGAGGCUUUGAAGCGUGGACGCCAGUCUGCGUGGAGCCGUCCUUGAAAUACCACCCUUUAAUGGCUGGUGUUCUAACGUAGACCCGUUACCCGGGUUGCGGACAGUGUCUGGUGGGUAGUUUGACUGGGGCGGUCUCCUCCCAAAGAGUAACGGAGGAGCACGAAGGUUAGCUAAUCCUGGUCGGACAUCAGGAGGUUAGUGCAAUGGCAUAAGCUAGCUUGACUGCGAGAGUGACGGCUCGAGCAGGUGCGAAAGCAGGUCAUAGUGAUCCGGUGGUUCUGAAUGGAAGGGCCAUCGCUCAACGGAUAAAAGGUACUCCGGGGAUAACAGGCUGAUACCGCCCAAGAGUUCAUAUCGACGGCGGUGUUUGGCACCUCGAUGUCGGCUCAUCACAUCCUGGGGCUGAAGUAGGUCCCAAGGGUAUGGCUGUUCGCCAUUUAAAGUGGUACGCGAGCUGGGUUUAGAACGUCGUGAGACAGUUCGGUCCCUAUCUGCCGUGGGCGCUGGAGAAUUGAGGGGGGCUGCUCCUAGUACGAGAGGACCGGAGUGGACGCAUCACUGGUGUUCGGGUUGUCAUGCCAAUGGCACUGCCCGGUAGCUAAAUGCGGAAGAGAUAAGUGCUGAAAGCAUCUAAGCACGAAACUUGCCCCGAGAUGAGUUCUCCCUGA
rnacentral:rRNA from 1 species